rnacentral:rRNA from 1 species
UACAGAGGUCUCAAGCGUUGUUCGGAUUCAUUGGGCGUAAAGGGUGUGUAGGUGGCGCCGUAAGUCGGGUGUGAAAUCUCGGAGCUUAACUCCGAAACUGCAUUCGAUACUGCCGUGCUUGAGGACUGGAGAGGAGACUGGAAUUUACGGUGUAGCGGUGAAAUGCGUAGAUAUCGUAAGGAAGACCAGUGGCGAAGGCGGGUCUCUGGACAGUUCCUGACGCUGAGGCGCGAAAGCUAGGGGGAGCAAACGGG